UGUCGAACAGAUUGUAUUGCCUUUCCAA
rnacentral:sRNA from 1 species